CUAAGGCAUUUACUUUAUUCAAAAUUCUAACACAAUUUUGUUCUAAUAAUUUUUUAAAUUAAUUGUUAAGCUGAACAUUUUGUAUUCUCAGUUUCAAAAUCGGACUUUUGGCGCGUUUUGGCUGUUGCAAUUGGCCAAUUGCAGAGAUGCGGACGUUUUUAAUUGGAAGACCGAGAAUGGCAAUGUUGCGCCUUGCCCGUUCCUUCCAACUUCAAGAUGGCUGCUGGCAUUCGAGAAUCGAGAUACGACAGCAAGUGACAGUUCCCCAGAGUGAUGGAUCAUCUUGGUCUGUACUUCGUAAAGUGUAUUUGCCGAUUCAUGUUUUUACUACCUAAACCAGUUAAAAUACUCCCGAGUCCUGAUUCAAGAUUUUCGUGGUGUUGUGGAAAGGAGAGCUACAGAUGGAAAUGCUAGAUGAGCAUAUUCAGCCUGCAUUUGCGUUUUCAAAAGAGUUCUUGCAAUUGUUCGAUGGUGGUUCUGUACUCCAGGUUUUGUGGUGUUGCGGAGAUUAAGAAUGGACAUGCUGUUUUAACUUUCUUUGAACUAUUUACAAAGCUGAAAAGGUUGAAGAAAAUUAAAUUGUGAAUAAAAUGUUGGGUCUUAAAUAGUGGUAAAUGUGUUAAAUAUCAGUUUGCAAAGGGAGAAUGUGUGAAAGUUUGAAAUUUGUUUCAGUUGAAUAAUUUUCCGGUUUUCGAUCUGAUGUCUAAAUAUGAUGCAUAUAAAAUGUAUUUUUUCAUCAAUAGUACAAGUUAUCUUCAGAGUACAAGCUGACAUCAGAGGAAUUUAAAUUCAUAUCUAUGUGAUUGUGUUUGAUUAGCUAAUGAUUGAAUAAAUGGAAUGCAAAUUAGA